rnacentral:rRNA from 1 species
UACGGAGGGUGCAAGCGUUAUCCGGAUUCACUGGGCUUAAAGGGUGCGUAGGCGGGCAGGCAAGUCCGUGGUGAAAUCUCUGAGCUUAACUCAGAAACUGCCAUGGAUACUAUUUGUCUUGAAUAUUGUGGAGGUAAGCGGAAUAUGUCAUGUAGCGGUGAAAUGCUUAGAUAUGACAUAGAACACCAAUUGCGAAGGCAGCUUACUACACAGUUAUUGACGCUGAGGCACGAAAGCGUGGGGAUCAAACAGG